CUCCACCUCCAAGCCCCUGCUUCCGCACGUCAUUCUUCUCCCGUCCUCGCGUCGUCGGUCUGGAGGCUAGAGCUCGCGGCCGACGCCCCCGCUCGCCAUUUGCCACGCCUUCAGAUCUGAACUCGCCCGCGAUGACGGUGAUUGGUGGAUGAGAGCCGAGUCCUGAACGGGAAGCAGCGCCCGUCCCUGUCCCACUGCCGUUGGAGAUGCAAGGAUUGCAUCGGCCAUGCCGCAGCAGCUCGGUGGCUGCCACUGCUUCACAUCCCCAUCGAGUCGGCGAGUCGCCCUCUGUCGGGCCCAUGGAAUCGGCUCCCACGACUACAAGUUCUUCCUUGGCCUGUUGUAAACCAUGGUUCUUCUCAAGCGCGGGCUAAGGUGGCACCAUGGCUCGUGCCAAGGAGGCGGCAGCGACCUGCAAACCCUGCAAGCAGCAGUAACACAACAUGUCUCCAUCCAUCCAUUCCUUCCUAUACGCCCUGAGAAUUUUGACUGCCUUUUUUCUAGUAUCCAGGCUGGUAUUUCUCCAGGGCGUAGCUGGACUCCCCUCCCAGGAUCUCACUCCACCACGGGGCCUUCCUGCUGCGAGUCUCUCUGGACGGGAGCUACAACGCCCGUCUCCAUCUCACCUUAGUCAAGAUAUGUAUAGAACUUGGAAAGGACUUGCGAGCUGGGAGAAUUUGGGAAAGGACGUUGGGAAGAUAACCAGGUUUUCAGUUGUGGAGGAACAUGACAAUUUGAACCAACUAAGAUGCAAGGGCAUGCUUCACAUGGAUUCAUACACAAUAAAAUUUGGGAAUAAAUGGUUUUACCUGCCGAUGGCAUCAGAGGAGCAGCUGCAAGCGCCGAUCUGCCUUGUCGGUUUGGAAUCAUAAGAUGCAUGCACGCUGCAACCUUCCUGCUUAUCAAUUCCUCAUGGUCAGCUCUUCUGAACAUAUUCCUCAUGGUAGAAAUGGCUGGUAUACAUGCCGGCGCGCCCAUCCGUGUGUUCAAGACUGGCUGAUUCACACCAUGGCUGAUGUGUACACACAAGCUGACCAAACACAAGCUGACCAAACACAAGCUAACCAAAAAGAGCAAAAAAGGGGUGCACACAACAUGUCCGCUGGUUAAUAACAAGUCAAGAGGGGGCUAUCCAAUGACGAGAAAGCUGGGAAGCUCGCAUUGCAGCUUUGGCUUAAGCUGUGAGCACUUUUUCGUCAGAGAAACUGUAGUUUGAUGUUUUGGCCAAGCAAUGGGCUGUUGUACCACAAUGGUGUUCCUAAUUGUUCGCUCUUCCAUAUAGAAGCUCUGAAACAAAAUGAGAUAGCCUGAAAUUAAGGGUAAUGCUUUUGAUAUCUUGAGAAAACAUAUUCAUGGAAUAUAAGUAGAAGGUUUACGAGGUUUGACUUCAAACAAAUCUUCUAUGCGAACUAAAAAGGACUGGAGGGAGUACAUAUACAGUUAAACCAGCUGCUCCGAGAGGGGAUGUUCAGGAUAACGACGGCGAGGAGCAAGUCGGCAUUUGUGAUGCUUCGCCGGAGCUAUUCCAGCUCUUCCAAAGGCACAAGGAGAGCCUAAAGUCAGGGGAAGCAUGUCAGGCUGUCCUACGAGAAGGUCGCGCAACUGAGGAUUCAGGACGCCAACAGUGUGGAGCUGUUCGCCAUCGAGAGGACCAAGGCUGCCAUCAGGGACAUCCGGACCAAGCUCAACAUCUCCCUUGCCUCCGUCAACACCGGCGACCGACUCUACAAGCAUGAUGAAUGCUGCCAUCGCUUGCUUUUGAGCACCUACAAGUUACCCUGUUGCAUGUAAUCUCUAAGACUGCCACUCAUAAGUCUUGCAUGCGCCUGUUAAUACCAGGGCUAUAACAAUUUUUAUGUGUAUAUACUCAGUUCUGCUUUUCC